AGCAAAGAGACUGUGUGCCCUGGCCUGAUUUAGGUGUGGAUGAUGCCAUGGACUGCAGUGGGAAAGCCAGUCAGGAAGGACUCGGCAUGGGAAGGCAGGAGGAGUGCUGCUCACUGAACAAGUCUUUUGCAGACCAAGAAGAGCCAUUAUACCAUAGUUUAUUCCAGAUCCAGAAAAGAACACAACCAAGGUUAACCAUCACACUUGGUAAAUGCGUCCUGGGCAAAUCAGAGGGGUUCUGAGCAGAGGAAAUCCACAGCCUCCAGCUAACUCCUUGGGAUUCAUCUCCCCGUCCUUAGGUUUCUGCAUCCUCGAGCUCUGCAAGAACAAUGUUUUCAAAGAAGACUGUGACUCGGUACAUGUUUGCGUAAGGUUCUGGGCUGGAUUCCCAACUCAGAAAAAUCAGUCUAAAACCAGAAAGACAGGAAAGAAGGCUCAAAUCACAGGUCUUCUUAGCCCAGAGGAUAUACAGUUUGCUAAAGCGUCAUUCUAUGAAAGGAAGCAAUAUAAUUCAAGAUAAGGACUUCCUCUCCUCUGUGACCAGAAGACGCAAUCUAG
rnacentral:lncRNA from 1 species